GUGCUGUCAGCGGCAUGCCUGCCUUCUGCAAGCCCCUCUUCCCUGUUCCCCAGCCCGCACUUCCAAUGAGCUGUGGGCCAGGAAACCAGCCCGUCACACUUGUCCACGCUGCGUUUAAAGCGGGAGGAAGGAGGACCCAAUGCAGGGCCCGAAAGGUCCACUGACCUCCAGGACGUAGAGGUUGAUGAUCCGGGCAGGUGGCCUUCAGCGAGGGAGCACGUCAAAAGGCUGUGGGCCGUGCAGACAGCUGGGGGACACUGUCCCGGGUGUGACCUUGGGCCACACAGCAGGGUGGUGGACUUGCUCCUAGAAUUGGGCUCCAGGGCUGAAGCCAGCCCCUCUGAUCUGGCACUGGCCGGCUCCAUUCACCCUUUUUGGGGCUUACUGCCGCAGAGACUUCCUGCGAGGAGAGCUGGACCCAAGACGCCAGAGUUCCGGGGGCACUGAGUGCUGUGUGGCACCCGGGCCAGGAGAAACAUGUGCCAGAGGGCAGGCGUGGGCUCUCCGGGGAGUCUCUGCAUAGACUUUCUAGCCCAGAGGUUCAGGUGAUGGACCAGGGACUGGCCGCUUUGUGACACCGAGGACGGUUGAUAAAGUGGAUUCUCGAGGGGAAGCUGCAUCCACACAGAGGCUAGGACGUGAAUGUGCAUCACAGCUCUAUCUGUGGCCCCCAAAGGCUGGGUGCCAGCUGCCUGUCAGCAGGGAGCGUAUCACCGUGGCACAUCCAUGCCGUGGGGGUCACUCAGCAGCCACGGAUGCGCCCUGGGUGCUGU
rnacentral:sRNA from 1 species